CUCCCCCUCUGUUCCUAAUAAUCCUUACAUAGUGGAAGCUUCUAGGGACAGUGUUGGGGGGAAAAACUUCUAAGUAGCAUCUAAAUUGUGUGGAUAUGAAAUAGCAUCAAUUUAAUUUUCAUGCUCUGUUUUGUUUUUUAAGUGGAGUGCUCCUGGCCAUGAAAAGAGAAACGUAUCAGGGAGAGUGAGAGGUAAAUGCCUCUGCCUAGCUGCUAGACUCUGCCCACGUCUGUAGCCUUUACUUAGAGGAAGGCAGAUGACCCACUGGGGCAGACUGGUCCCCUAAGCACCCUGUUCUAGCCCUGAAAUCUAAGCUCUACAAAGCAUAGCCAAGGGCCUUUGUUCUUGUACCUAGGGAAGAAGACAUCCCUACGUUUCUCUUGUAGAUGCUGACGCCAAGAGCAAGCAACAAAAAAAGUGGUCACAGAUGCCAGCAUAAAUCAUGCAGUUGGUUGGGCCUAGGAAUUACAGUUAUUCCUCUGCUAUCAUCAGGUCUACCAAGAAUUAAAAACUCGCUCUUGCUCAGUAGCCCCAGGUUUGGUGGCUUUGCAGAAUUGUCAACAGGACAUGGAAUCUGGUGCCUCUGUGUGAAGUGACCCCUUGUGUUUCUGGCAUUGGCGUGUUGAAUUAAAAGUUAGAUGGUGUGGGUGGAAUGGACUCUGAGGAUAUGCAGUGAAGGGUCAUGAUGGGGGUCCAUGUCUGGGUUUGCCUAGAGUCUGGGGCCUCCACCUCUACUUUAGAAAGUGACUUUGAAGUUUCUUUGUCCCUGUGGUCACUUGCUCCUUCUUCCCUGCCCUCCUGCCUUCAGAAGAUCUGCUCCUGACAUAGACUGACCCCACCAUUAAGAAGCCUACCCACCCUUCCCCAACUACCUACAGCAGCGGCUGCUCUUGAGCUCACGUGCUUUCUUGUUUUGUUUGCAUUUGCUGUUGACACAGGCCUCAAAGUGUAGGCCAGGCUGGCCUCAAAAGCAAUAUGAACUGCUGAUUUUUCUGCCAUUACCUUCCAAGUGCUGGGACUACCGGCCUCCUCUCUAGUCUUCCUGCACUGACUUUACAGACUAAACUAAUGUGGAACUGAGUGAGUUGGCAAAGGACUUCUCAGAUGUAGGUUCAGCCACUUGCACAAUGUGGCCAAUAAAUGGAAAAGCCAAAUCCGGACCCUGGACAUCUUGAUUCCAGAAUGGGAUGCUGACACAGUUCUUUGCAUCUGGAUUCGGAGCAGAUGGCCCUGCGUCUGUGAAUCCACAUUGCCCCAUUCCUUCCUACUCCCUGGCAUAGCUGAUGUUCAUGGGCCUAAAGAUCUUGGUAAGACCCCAACCCAUAGUUUUCACCGAAUCUCACCCACUUCUACAGUGAAGAAUGGGACUCCAUUUGAGUGGCCGUGCCAGAGGGUAACCUUGAACUCCUGCCACAUUCUCCACUUUGCCAGUAGUUACAGGUCAGGAUGUGGAUCUUUGCCCACUCCUUUAACCCUUUCUCAUGCCCAGUCCAUGUGGAAGGGCUGCCAGCAUAGGCACACAUCAAAGAUUUCCCCUGAGAGCAGGAAAAGCCCACCCUCCACAGUAGAAGACUCAUCCUACCCCUAGAUCUGCCAUUCAGCAAGGGUCCCUGGACCAUCAACAGUGUAUGAAGCUCAGUCUACUCCCUACCCUCCUACACCCGAAUCUGCCUUUGCAUGGAGAGGUCUGGGUGAGUACCGCACGUGUAUAUUAGUGACAUCCCUGCCCCCUGCCCUCUAGAAGCUCCCCCAACAAGACAUGGAACCUCGCCAGCAUGGACCUGAGCUGGAAUUGUCCCUGAGUCUGGGGGCUCUCCAGGAAUGCAGUGCAGGGCUAGGAUGGAGGGAAAUUCAAGGGAAUGAGGCAAGUCAGGGGAAGGACUCUUAAACCAGCAGAACUAGACUAGUCUGUGGGUGGCUGUGAACACUGGCCGGCCCCUUGUGCCCAUCGCCUAUGCCCAUGUGCCCUUCCAGAUGUCUCCCAGCAACAGGACAAACACUGGAAGCAUAAACGCCUACCGGUGGUUUCUUACCAUAUUAAAGCGAACAUCACAUCUGCACUAGAGUCAGUAGGCAGUUGGCCCCCUGGGCCAUUGAAACACCAAGAAUCCAUGCCCAGCACCAUUGCUCUGCACCAAAGGCCUUGGAGAGUGUCAGUCUAGCCUUGCUGAGCCUCAGGGUCUUCCUGUGUUAUACCUGUUUGCCUCUGUGCCUGGACCUCACUGAGCAGAGCCUUCCUGUCAAAGCACAAGCAUCCGGAUGAUCAUCUAGUCUUCAAAUGGUCCUACAAGCCGUCAAAUCGCAAGGAAGUGUUCCAGUGAGCUCAGCGUGGGUCAUGCUCUUACUGCUGAUACAAUUACAAUGGUCAGGGUGUGUAGGAGGAAGAGACUCUCCUUUGAGGCUCAUGAUGGACUCCAUCAAGGAUGUCUGCUGGGCUAGAGUGGGGUGGAGGGAUGAGGAACAAGGCCUGGGCAGAAAGAGAAGGGAGCUUGAUCUUGGGCUGGCUGUGUGGCAGGCACAGCAUCCUGGUUCCAUCUCCAACACCAUCAAAAGGGAGAAGAGUGCUCAAUUCUUUCACCAAAUGCCAGUCUGGUAUGGUUGGUGACAAAGCACUGGCUGAGACCAGAGCCAGCUAGCCUCAGAGACCUUCCCACACUUCAGAUGUUAAGGUCCCCUUUGGAUCAUAUGGGGCUGGACACAGGCUGUGCAACAACUUUUCUAGCUAUUCUAGCUGAGCAGCCUUGGGUGGGGGAAGAGCUCUAACACCCAGCAGAGUGACAAAGGCUGGUUGAAUGAGGACUCCUGGGGAGCUCAAGGUCACCAGAACUUUAGUGACAGCCAUUUCUCUUCUCUCUGUCAUCCCUCCAUCUCUCUUCCCCUCUCAUUUGAACCUGAACUGGAAAAUGCUUGCUGGAGCUGGGUACUGGCCUGCCCUCGUCUUGGGGUUUGAUAUUUACCAAAUGCAUUUCUGCUUGGUAACUAAGAAAUAAAGUCAGACUUUUCC